AAACAAUUAAAAGAGAAGAGUUGGCAGAGCCAGCCAGGAAAGACCUGUGGCUCACUCCUAAUCUCCCACAUGGAACUUCUGACUUGGCCAAGUAAAAGAAACAGGAAGAGUCUAAACAAGAAGCUUCAAGCGCUGACAACUUCAUUUAACUCAUGAAGAAUUCAAACAAUCUGGUGGUGAAAAAUAGGAACGACUAAAUGGAAUGCCAGGGAAAAUUGUGGAUUUGAAAAACAAACCCCUACAUCUUCAAGAGGAGGGUAAUCAAUCAAGGUACAAGGCAGGCAGUUUCUGAACAGUCUUCUGUGAGAUCUUAGGUCAUUAUAACUCUACUUCUUUAUAUAUCAAUAAUUAUUAAGACAACUAGUGAGAUGAGCCUGUGGCAAAUUUAGUGCAUUUUCCAGUUGUCCAUGGACUUUAACUGUUAGGUCUGUGCUGCUGGUGUCUUGGCUGAAUCUCCAGGCCAGAUCUUCUAGUCCACCAGUCUCCUGAACAUCUCCUGGUGUCCCACAGCCACCUCAGACUCAGCUGAUCACAACUGAUCUCAUCAGCCCACUGGAACCUGCUUCUCCUCCUGAAUUCUCCAUUUUGGGGAGUGCCCCACCACCCAUUCAGUCCUGCAGGAAUUCUCCCUCCUGGAGACUCUUCACAAGCUGAAAUUAAGACUCAUGGCUUCCCCUCUUGGAAAGAAUCCCACUCGGCUCCCUUUCUUCACCACUACUACCUCUGCACCCCUCUCUCAGAUUACUGCAAUGGCUCUGCCUCUCUGCAGAUCUCUGUCUAACCUCAAUUCCCGGUAUCAGUCAGGGUUUUGGCCGGAAGCAGAACUCAUCUCACCUGGUUCAAAUGAAGGACCAUUAAUGAAGGACAAUCAGGGAGGUGGGGGCUGGGUUAAUGGAGGCAUCGAGAGACUAGCAACUGCUGGAA